GACACUCGGGUGACUACCAGUUGGUGGUCAUCAGCCAGCCAGCCUCUGCUGGUGACUCUGGACAGUGAGAGACCUGAGAAAGGAGCUGGAUCCAGCAGCAAGCAGUUGUGCGGUAUUAGCUGGACAGCAACCGGCAGGUAUUGGCUGGUCCUGGAGUCCCUCACUGGGUAGAGGCUGUUCUGCUGUCUCCUGUUCCCAGAUCUGCAGUGAUCUUUUACAGGAAAUUUACUCUUCUGGUGAAGACAUACACAGACUGAGAACAGAAAUGUGGACAAUGAUAUUCUAAUCAAACAGAAUAAAGAAGCAGGAGGAGCCCUACUUACACACCAUAAACCAUUCAUCAAGUCAAAAUUUGCCAGAAGGGGUAAAUGUCUCUAAAUUAAUAAUAAGAUUUUUUCCUUUUCUUUUC
rnacentral:lncRNA from 1 species